rnacentral:rRNA from 1 species
CCUACGGUGCGCAGCAGUAGGGAAUAUUGCUCAAUGGGGGAACCCCUGAAGCAGCAACGCCGCGUGGAGGAUGAAGGUUUUCGUAUUGUAAACUCCUUUUGUUAGAGAAGAUAAUGACGGUAUCUAACGAAUAAGCACCGGCUAACUCCGUGCCAGCAGCCGCGGUAAUACGGAGGGUGCAAGCGUUACCCGGAAUCACUGGGCGUAAAGAUCGCGUAGGCGGGAUAGCAAGUCAGAUGUGAAAUCCUAUGGCUUAACCAUAGAACUGCAUUUGAAACUGUUAUUCUAGAGUAUGGGAGAGGUAGGUGGAAUUCUUGGUGUAGGGGUAAAAUCCGUAGAGAUCAAGAGGAAUACUCAUUGCGAAGGCGACCUGCUAGAACAUAACUGACGCUGAUGCGCGAAAGCGUGGGGAGCAAACAGGAUUAGAUACCCGAGUAGUC